CCGGGGCUCAACCCCGGUAUGCAUUAGAUACUGGCAAACUAGAAUUAGAUAGAGGUAAGCGGAAUUCCAUGUGAAGCGGUGAAAUGCGUAGAUAUAUGGAAGAACACCAAAGGCGAAGGCAGCUUACUGGGUCUAUAUUGACACUGAGGGACGAAAGCGUGGGGAGCAAACAGGAUUAGAUACCCUGGUAGUCCACGCUGUAAACGAUGAUCAUUAGUCGGUGGAUGAUUCACUGACGCAGCUAACGCAUUAAAUGAUCCGCCUGAGUAGUAUGCUCGCAAGAGUGAAACUUAAAGGAAUUGACGGGGACUCGCACAAGCGGUGGAGCAUGUGGUUUAAUUUGAAGAUACGCGGAGAACCUUACCCACUCUUGACAUCUUCCGCAAAGCUAUAGAGAUAUAGUGGAGGUUAACGGAAUGACAGAUGGUGCAUGGUUGUCGUCAGCUCGUGUCGUGAGAUGUUAGGUUAAGUCCUAUAACGAGCGCAACCCCUAUUUUUAGUUACUAACAG
rnacentral:rRNA from 1 species